UCAACACCGAGUAGAGGAUUUAGUGCGCAUGACUGUCCCUGUUGCUUAAGGAAUUCUUCGAUACCAUAGAGAUGGCAAAAAUGUGUAACUAUAGAUGAAAUUAUCUAUAAAAACUGUAUAUUUUUGAUAAUAAUCAUGUUUGAACCGCCCUCGGUAACUUCAUAUUACACAUAUGUGCUUCCAAUCUAAAUGAAUCACACUGUAUGUCUCAUCGGUAAUAAUAGAAAUAAUGAAAUAAAGUUUUUAAAAGUAAAUAAAUGCAUUUUUAUAUAUUUUGCAAUUGGCAGAUUCGAAAUAAAUAUAAUUAGCGAUAAACUGAGAUUCGAUAAGAAUAGCGGAAAUAAAUGUUAUCAAACCUCUCCAGCGGCAUAUUUAACACGGUUAUUGAACGUUGUUUAUUCUUCUUGUAAUGCAGUUGAUGUGAAACUAAUUUAAAAUAACAUAAAACCGACACGACUUUCAGUGUAAUUAAAUGUGCGGUCGAAUGAACGAACAUCGAAAAUUCCCAUCACGUUUAUAAAAAGAUAGCUAGUAGGUAAAUAAGGAAAAAAAUAUACGCAAAUCAAUUCUUGAAUAGUCAAGGUAAUUAUUUAAUGUUACCUUACUGAAAGAACGGGAAUUUACAAUGAGUGUAUCUCAAUUUCUAAUUCAGUAUAAACUUUGACGUCUCGAAACAAUGCAAUAGACUUUCUUUAUCGGAAGGCAAUAGUGUUAUAAUGGAAAAAAUACAGAAAGUUAUUCACUAUACUCCUCGCAGAAGGAAAUCGAAAAAUGACACUAACAAUUCGGAUAGAACGUACUGGAACUUAUUGAAUCGAUUUGGAAGACAUCAUCACAUAAGUAUUAAAAACAGAGCGUAAGAAUUUUUUAUUAAUAUGUUACAGAGAUUAAAUAACUUUGCAUUUAGUUAUAGUUUUUUCAAUAAAUUUUAAGAUUCAAUUUACACAACAAUAACUAAAACACUUGAAAUUAGCUACAGAGAUACGCGUAUGAUACCUACAUACUGGGUGCCACGAAGCAGUAUGUCAAUAAUAAGGAAAGAAA